rnacentral:rRNA from 2 species
GCACCUGAUUGAUUUUGGUCGCCAACGAGUGGCGGACGGGUGAGUAACACGUAGGUAACCUGCCCAGAAGCGGGGGACAACAUUUGGAAACAGAUGCUAAUACCGCAUAACAGCGUUGUUCGCAUGAACAACGCUUAAAAGAUGGCUUCUCGCUAUCACUUCUGGAUGGACCUGCGGUGCAUUAGCUUGUUGGUGGGGUAACGGCCUACCAAGGCGAUGAUGCAUAGCCGAGUUGAGAGACUGAUCGGCCACAAUGGGACUGAGACACGGCCCAUACUCCUACGGGAGGCAGCAGUAGGGAAUCUUCCACAAUGGGCGCAAGCCUGAUGGAGCAACACCGCGUGAGUGAAGAAGGGUUUCGGCUCGUAAAGCUCUGUUGUUAAAGAAGAACACGUAUGAGAGUAACUGUUCAUACGUUGACGGUAUUUAACCAGAAAGUCACGGCUAACUACGUGCCAGCAGCCGCGGUAAUACGUAGGUGGCAAGCGUUAUCCGGAUUUAUUGGGCGUAAAGAGAGUGCAGGCGGUUUUCUAAGUCUGAUGUGAAAGCCUUCGGCUUAACCGGAGAAGUGCAUCGGAAACUGGAUAACUUGAGUGCAGAAGAGGGUAGUGGAACUCCAUGUGUAGCGGUGGAAUGCGUAGAUAUAUGGAAGAACACCAGUGGCGAAGGCGGCUACCUGGUCUGCAACUGACGCUGAGACUCGAAAGCAUGGGUAGCGAACAGGAUUAGAUACCCUGGUAGUCCAUGCCGUAAACGAUGAGUGCUAGGUGUUGGAGGGUUUCCGCCCUUCAGUGCCGGAGCUAACGCAUUAAGCACUCCGCCUGGGGAGUACGACCGCAAGGUUGAAACUCAAAGGAAUUGACGGGGGCCCGCACAAGCGGUGGAGCAUGUGGUUUAAUUCGAAGCUACGCGAAGAACCUUACCAGGUCUUGACAUCUUGCGCCAACCCUAGAGAUAGGGCGUUUCCUUCGGGAACGCAAUGACAGGUGGUGCAUGGUCGUCGUCAGCUCGUGUCGUGAGAUGUUGGGUUAAGUCCCGCAACGAGCGCAACCCUUGUUACUAGUUGCCAGCAUUAAGUUGGGCACUCUAGUGAGACUGCCGGUGACAAACCGGAGGAAGGUGGGGACGACGUCAGAUCAUCAUGCCCCUUAUGACCUGGGCUACACACGUGCUACAAUGGACGGUACAACGAGUCGCGAACUCGCGAGGGCAAGCAAAUCUCUUAAAACCGUUCUCAGUUCGGACUGCAGGCUGCAACUCGCCUGCACGAAGUCGGAAUCGCUAGUAAUCGCGGAUCAGCAUGCCGCGGUGAAUACGUUCCCGGGCCUUGUACACACCGCCCGUCACACCAUGAGAGUUUGUA